UCAACUCCGUCUCUCUGGUCAGCUCUGGAGCACCCACCACAUCUUGGGCUGGACAGCAAAUCACAUGCCAAGGGAGGCUGGGCUCCACUUUGCAGGGGCAGGAUGUGUGCGAUGGAUGCGUGCCCAAGAUGUGUGCUCACAGGCCUCUCCUGCCCCACGAGCUGUUCUUGGCCCAUUGCUGGGGAAAACACAGUGUCCUGCCUCUGGAUGAAGGCAAGAAGCUAAAAUAUCAAACAGAUCUGGUUCAUUCUCAAACAUCUGGUUACCUUGAAUAAAGCACACUAAGCAUGUAGAUGUCACUCAGCAAAGCCCGAGGAUGACAAUCCCCACCAUUGCUGUACAGAUAGUUGCUCAUAGUAACUUGGAGUUGCUGCCACAAGCUGCUGGUUUUCCACCAUAAGAAAACUUGGGUGCUUCCCUAAGUGUCAUAAUGAAUCUGAGAGAUGGAUUUUCCUUUGUGAAAAUAAAUUCUUAUUGAUCAACUAAUUAAUAAAGGCCCUUCUCAGUGCUAUUGUGAGGACCAAAUGUAGCGCCACAUGCACAUGUGCUGUGAUGGGCUUUACAGAGACCCAGAACUUUCAGGAUUCAGCCACCUGCUCAGGGAAUACUGGCGGCCACUGGCCUGGGUUCUCCAAGACUUAGAAGCUACCCACCCACAAUAUGUGGCCCACCCAAGGCCCAGG